rnacentral:rRNA from 1 species
UACGGAGGGUGCGAGCGUUGUCCGGAAUCACUGGGCGUAAAGGGCGCGUAGGUGGCUUGGCAAGCGUGUGGUGAAAGCCCGGGGCUCAACCCCGGGUCUGCCGUGCGAACUGCUAUGGCUUGAGCACUGUAGAGGCAGGUAGAAUUCCGGGUGUAGCGGUGGAAUGCGUAGAGAUCCGGAAGAACACCGGUGGCGAAGGCGGCCUGCUGGGCAGUUGCUGACACUGAGGCGCGACAGCGUGGGGAGCAAACAGG